rnacentral:rRNA from 1 species
UGGGGAAUAUUGGACAAUGGGGGAAACCCUGAUCCAGCAAUGCCGCGUGAAUGAUGAAGGCCUUAGGGUUGUAAAGUUCUUUUACCUGUGAAGAUGAUGACGGUAACAGGAGAAAAAGCACCGGCUAACUUCGUGCCAGCAGCCGCGGUAAGACGAAGGGUGCUAGCGUUGUUCGGAAUGACUGGGCGUAAAGGGCGCGUAGGCGGUCUUUUAAGUUAGGCGUGAAAGCCCCGGGCUUAACCCGGGACGUGCGCUUAAGACUGAAAGGCUUGAGUAUGGAAGAGGUAAGUGGAAUUCCUAGUGUAGAGGUGAAAUUCGUAGAUAUUAGGAAGAACACCGGUGGCGAAGGCGGCUUACUGGUCCAUUACUGACGCUGAGGCGCGAAAGUGUGGGGAGCAAA